AUUGAACGCUGGCGGCGGGCCUAACACAUGCAAGUCGAACGAGUGGCGGACGGGUGAGUAAUGUAUGGGCAACUGCCCGAUCGAGGGGGAUAACUACUGGAAACGGUAGCUAAUACCGCAUACCAUCGGAUGUGCCCAGAUGGGAUUAGGUAGUAGGUGGGGUAACGGCUCACCUAGGCGACGAUCCCUAGCUGGUCUGAGAGGAUGAUCAGCCACACUGGGACUGAGACACGGCCCAGACUCCUACGGGAGGCAGCAGUGGGGAAUAUUGCACAAGGGGCGAAAGCCUGAUGCAGCAAUGCCGCGUGUAUGAAGAAGGCUUUCGGGUUGUAAAGUACUUUCAGCGAGGAGGCGGUACCCGCAGAAGAAGCAACGGCUAACUCCGUGCCAGCAGCCGCGGUAAUAC
rnacentral:rRNA from 1 species